rnacentral:rRNA from 1 species
GAUGAACGCUGGCGGCGUGCCUAAUACAUGCAAGUCGAGCGAACAGACGAGGAGCUUGCUCCUCUGACGUUAGCGGCGGACGGGUGAGUAACACGUGGAUAACCUACCUAUAAGACUGGGAUAACUUCGGGAAACCGGAGCUAAUACCGGAUAAUAUAUUGAACCGCAUGGUUCAAUAGUGAAAGACGGUUUUGCUGUCACUUAUAGAUGGAUCCGCGCCGCAUUAGCUAGUUGGUAAGGUAACGGCUUACCAAGGCAACGAUGCGUAGCCGACCUGAGGGGGUGAUCGGCCACACUGGAACUGAGACACGGUCCAGACUCCUACGGGAGGCAGCAGUAGGGAAUCUUCCGCAAUGGGCGAAGGCCUGACGGAGCAACGCCGCGUGAGUGAUGAAGGUCUUCGGAUCGUAAAACUCUGUUAUUAGGGAAGAACAAAUGUGUAAGUAACUAUGCACGUCUUGACGGUACCUAAUCAGAAAGCCACGGCUAACUACGUG